rnacentral:miRNA from 1 species
UAGUGCUGCAGUGUAAACAUUGCAGUUUCUCUGAACUGCAAUGUUUUACAUUGCAGUCCUA